rnacentral:rRNA from 1 species
GACGUAGGGCGCGAGCGUUGUCCGGAAUUAUUGGGCGUAAAGAGCUCGUAGGCGGUUUGUCGCGUCUGCUGUGAAAACCUAAGGCUCAACCUUGGACUUGCAGUGGGUACGGGCAGACUAGAGUGUGGUAGGGGAGACUGGAAUUCCUGGUGUAGCGGUGAAAUGCGCAGAUAUCAGGAGGAACACCGAUGGCGAAGGCAGGUCUCUGGGCCACUACUGACGCUGGAGAAAGCGAAAGCAUGGGGAGCGAACAGG